AUAUGGCCCUAUCGAAGCUGUGUGAUCUCUUAUUUUCUGGUGAUGCACGGUCAAAGUGAGGCCUAAAUUAACUUUUUCUGUAUAUUGGUCACUGGAUAGUUAAAUUUCUAUAGUUAAUUCAGUAUUACCCAAACAGAAGACAGCU